GUAACUGGGCACCUACAAUUAUUGCCUACACGUCUAACAAGGCUCCUCUUAUUCAUUUUAUUGAGAUGUUCCCUGUGGUGGGUAACAGAUGUUGGAGAAUGACAUAGGUCACCUGGAAAACUCCCAAGAUUAGAUUCUUCUGUUGCACCAUUGCUAUAUCCUAGGGGCUCUCAUUCCUCUCCAGUCUGAUCCACUCCAUAUUUUACAUCACAACAGCAAAGUAACACACGUGGGAAAGGGAAUAAACUUAUAUUCUUAGAUAUACAAAACAUUAUUGUGAAAUGUAAUAUAAUGCCGUCUUUGUUUCCUCCACAGAAAAACUGGAUCUGAAAGUCCGGCUCAGUGAAUUAUCUGACAAAGUGGCGGUAAGUUUGCUCAUUGCUUAUUCUGUAAUCUGAUACUAACCUGUCACCCCAAACUAGUUUCCUUAUACUAUUGGGGUAUUAAAAAGUGCUUUACAUACUGUAUUCUCUGUGUUUACACAAAUUGUUGAUUAUUUAAUAUUUUAACCAUAGGAAAUAGAAGACCCCAAUGAUCUGGCAGACGCAAUAAAUAGCAGCCUAAUAGAAGUAUCAGCUCAACUUCUCAAUUUGUGGGGAAAAUUUCUUCAAUCCUCCUUCGAGAGUGAACAAGAGAAGAAGCAAAUAAAGGAAGAAAAGUUCAAGAAAUUAUUCUUUUCUACUGACCAUCCCCAACAAGAAGCUAUUUUAUAUGAUGAGAAGAUAACCGAAAGCCACAAAGAGAUUUAUGAAAAAGUCAAAAAAGCUCCAAAAGACGAUUGUCUCGAGUGCCGGGACACGGACAUGGUAUCAAAAUCUGCCCCCGUUGUCUUUGAAGACCGGUACUUAGAGCCUGAAGCAAUAGGUACGUAUGGAAAGAAUCCACAGGUGCUGCUGCCUCAGUGUGUGAUAGUUGUUCAUCCAGAACUCCUUCCGUUCAUUAUUAUUUUUUAUAUACGUAUUUCUAAAGU